AGGGCGUGUUGUGGUCUACCGUUUUUUUUGCUGUCAUGUACUGCCCUGCAGUACCAUUUUGGAGCCUGGAUGGCGCUUUGCGCCCUCUCGUCCUCUUUCUCCCCUCCCCUCUCUGUUUCAGCUUCUCCUCAAGCCACGCACCUGUCUCCAAUCAACCCUCAUCACCACCUACAUUUAAGCCUGCCUGUUCCCGGAAAUCCUCGCCAAAGUAUUGCAGCCUCUCCUAGCGUGUUCCUGACCCACGUCGUUCCUGCCAGCCCCCUGUUCUGUCCACUGCCUGCCACCUGUCCAUGCCGCCGACUGUCAACACAUCCAGGACCACUUCCAUAACUUUUGCUCCAUAAACUGUUCAAUAUUCUACAUCAGCGUCUGCCUGCUCUUGGGUUCAGCUACUUCCCACACCUGACAGUUGCAGUGUUGUAAUAGUUCAAAUAUUGAUUUUAGUUCCCACACACCCGUGACUAGCAGAGAGGAAUUGCAGAGUUGGGGGGAAAACAAAAAAAUAACCUUACCCCGCAGUAUGUGUCCCCGUUGCAUAUUUGUGGGGGCAAAGCGGUCGGGUUCCCUGCUAUCUUCCUCAUUAAAUCUUUAUCUGCAGGAUUCUGGGCAAUGUCCACCCUCUCAAAGGGGAUCUUCUUGGACUCGAGGACCAUGAAGAUUCUUAGCUGGUCAUUCCUUAACUGGAGUAAAACAAAAUAAUUAAAUCAAAUAAAAAAUUGGACACAGUUGGCAAAAGUCAUGAGUAAAAGGGAAGAAUACUCUACCGAAUUGGAGCCGCUUACACUGGAGUAAAACACCUUGACUGGCAUGGCUGCAAGUUUAACAACAACAACAACAAAAAACUCUUGAUUUAAAGAAGAGACGUCCAGUAGCAGAA